AAAGCCCGAUACCAGAAAGGAAUAGCGAGCCGCCUUGACCACAAGUCAUGCGUUGCGCCUCGCGAGGCGUGCAGCGAAGCGUUGGCAGGGGGCACCGGAAAUUUUCAAGCUGGUUGUCGCCUGAAUGCCAAUGACAACCUCAGUUUGAAUCGC
rfam:Gallionellales bacterium GWA2_55_18 gwa2_scaffold_6936, whole genome shotgun sequence.